rnacentral:rRNA from 1 species
CUACGGGUCGCUGCAGUGGGGAAUAUUGCACAAUGGAGGAAACUCUGAUGCAGCAACGCCGCGUGGAGGAUGACACUUUUCGGAGCGUAAACUCCUUAUAUAUAGGAAGAAGAUGACGGUACUAUAUGAAUAAGCGCCGGCUAACUCCGUGCCAGCAGCCGCGGUAAUACGGAGGGCGCAAGCGUUACUCGGAAUCACUGGGAGUAAAGAGCGUGUAGGCGGAUUAAAAAGUCAGAAGUGAAAUCCUAUAGCUUAACUAUAGAACUGCUUCUGAAACUCUUAAUCUAGAAUAUGGGAGAGGUAGAUGGAAUUUCUGGUGUAGGGGUAAAAUCCGUAGAGAUCAGAAGGAAUACCGAUUGCGAAGGCGAUCUACUAGAACAUUAUUGACGCUGAGACGCGAAAGCGUGGGGAGCAAACAGGAUUAGAUACCCCUGUAGUC